UGGGGGAUAGUGUAAUGGUAGCACAAGUGGCUCUGGACCACUUAGUCUUGGUUCGAAUCCAGGUCCCCCAG
rnacentral:tRNA from 1 species